UGAAAGGUGUCAGGACGCAGACAGCUGUCAGACUCCAGCGAUGCAUUCUAAGUAACCUUCCUGUCAAUGGGGAGGGCAACAAAGGAGGGAGGGUUGACCCGCCAAUACUGCUGUCAGAUACACCAGGAAUUUGAAAAAUCACACCAUGUGUGUUUAUGCGUCAUGCAGCUUGGUUAUGUGCGGUCUCGUCUUUUUCUCAUUCUAAUCUGCUUUAAGCAGCUGUGACUAAAUGCUGAAUCUAUAUUCGUUUUUAAUAUCUUUCAGUGUGGAAAUGUAUGCUGUAGGCUGUGAAAGUGGAAACUGAAAAUGAAAGGGAACCUGCUCAUCAAUGAUCCGUCUUAUCUGGAUGCCAAACACUAUCGGGCAGAACUCCACCUCAUCUCCGGUCCAACAACAGUUCCUUACUCCACCUCCACCUCCACCUGCCCACGUCUCUCCCCCUGCCGGGGGACACACCGCCGAUGAGCCCACUGACGUGAUGAGAACUACUCUUACAGAGACUCCCGCUGUUCCUCAUCACGGGCCGCAGCGUCCGGGCUGAUGGAGCAGCGGGCCGGGGAUCUGUUCCUACACGCUCUGUUAAACAUCCGCCUCCUCCACUGCUCAAAGAUGAGGAGGCUUAAUACGAGGCCAACGUUUCAAUCCUUUCCCAUGUUUGUAUUAGGAAUUAUACCAGUUUGUCAAAUAUAGAACUAGACCCAAGGGACUCAUGUAUGUAUUGGAAGUCACUGUAAUAAAAUAUAAAACAAAUAAUGAUCAGUCAUCUAAUUUAAUGUUUCAUAUUUCCAAAAUAGAAUCUCACUGUGACUAAACUGACACUGUAAAACUCAAAUUUGAACAGUUAAAUAAAUUAUAAUUGGUCUCCAAGAAUAAGUAGCUUUCCUUAUUUCUAAAUAUAAACGGAUAUGUGAUGUACUGAGCUGUGAGUGAUCCAAGACAAAAUUCUUUUUGGGGUUUUUAAACAUUCAGAUGUUGCUGAAUAAAUUACGAACAUGAAGCCAGUUAAAAACGCUGCAUCUUAAAUUAUGAAUCAACCUAAUAUCUCAAUUGUGUUUAACCUGUAAAAAAUACACAAUUCACUAAAUCCUUUUUUUGCAUUUCGUGUAUAAAUGUACUACAGUUAAUAAAUGUAGAUGGAAUGUGA